rnacentral:rRNA from 1 species
UUAGAGUUUGAUCAUGGCUCAGGACGAACGCUGGCGGCGUGCCUAAUACAUGCAAGUCGAACGCGUCUUGGUUAAUGAUGUUAGGUGCUUGCAUUUAACUGAUUUAACAUUGAGACGAGUGGCGAACUGGUGAGUAACACGUGGGUAACCUGCCCUGAAGUGGGGGAUAACACUUGGAAACAGGUGCUAAUACCGCAUAACAACGAAAACCACAUGGUUUUCGUUUGAAAGAUGGCUUCGGCUGUCACUUCUGGAUGGACCCGCGGCGUAUUAGCUUGUUGGUGAGGUAACGGCUCACCAAGGCCAUGAUACGUAGCCGACCUGAGAGGGUAAUCGGCCACAUUGGGACUGAGACACGGCCCAAACUCCUACGGGAGGCAGCAGUAGGGAAUCUUCCACAAUGGACGAAAGUCUGAUGGAGCAACGCCGCGUGAGUGAUGAAGGGUUUCGGCUCGUAAAACUCUGUUGUUGGAGAAGAACAGGUGAUAGAGUAACUGUUAUCAUCUUGACGGUAUCCAACCAGAAAGCCACGGCUAACUACGUGCCAGCAGCCGCGGUAAUACGUAGGUGGCAAGCGUUGUCCUGAUUUAUUGGGCGUAAAGCGAGCGCAGGCGGUUUUUUAGGUCUGAUGUGAAAGCCUUCGGCUUAACCGGAGAAGGGCAUCGGAAACCGGGAGACUUGAGUGCAGAAGAGGACAGUGGAACUCCAUGUGUAGCGGUGAAAUGCGUAGAUAUAUGGAAGAACACCAGUGGCGAAGGCGGCUGUCUGGUCUGUAACUGACGCUGAGGCUCGGAAGCAUGGGUAGCGAACAGGAUUAGAUACCCUGGUAGUCCAUGCCGUAAACGAUGAGUGCUAAGUGUUUGGAAGGUUUCCGCCCUUCAGUGCUGCAGCUAACGCAUUAAGCACUCCGCCUGGGGGAGUACGACCGCAAGGUUGAACUCAAAGGAAUUGACGGGGGCCCGCACAAGCGGUGGAACCAUGUGGUUUAAUUCGAAGCAACGCGAAGGACCUUACCAGGUCUU